UCUGUUGCAAAACCAGAUUCUUUAAGAGAUUGGCGACCUCCUGAAUUUUACCCGAUUUCAAGUGAUGGGCACUUCUACCUACGAAUACAGGUUAAGGACUCUGGCUGUGGUGUUCUCCCUCAAGAUAUCCCACUCCUUUUUACUAAAUUCUCUCAGCAUCGUAGUGGAUCGAGCCGAAAUAAUGGUGGUGCAGGACUUGGACUUGCCAUCUGUAGAAGGUUUGUAGAUCUAAUGGGAGGCCAUAUAUGGAUUGAGAGCGAAGGCCUUGACAAAGGUACCAACGCGACAUUCAUUGUCAAACUUG
rnacentral:misc_RNA from 1 species